GAUGAAGAACGUAGCGAAAUGCGAUACGUAGUGUGAAUUGCAGAAUUCCGUGAACCAUCAAAUCUUUGAACGCAUAUUGCGCUCGAGGCUUCGGCCGAGAGCAUGUCUGCCUCAACGUCGGUAUUACCCCUCGCUUCUCAACCCCUGGUUGAUGCCUGCCUGCCUUUGCAGUUGGCUAGAAGCGGAUCUGGCUUUCCCAAUUGCCUUUGGUAGUUGGGUCAGCUGAAGCACAGAGGCUUGAGCAAGGACCCUUAUUGGGCUUCAACUGGAUAGGUAGAACUGGUCUUAGGACCAACUACACGAAGUUGUUGCUUGUGGUCUUUGUCUGGAGGCCAGCAGGAAACCUUUAUACCUUCGACCUGAGCUCAGGCAAGAUUACCCGCUGAACUUAAGCAUAUCAAUAAGCGGAGGA
rnacentral:misc_RNA from 1 species